CCUACGGGAGGCAGCAGUGGGGAAUAUUGCACAAUGGGCGCAAGCCUGAUGCAGCCAUGCCGCGUGUGUGAAGAAGGCCUUCGGGUUGUAAAGCACUUUCAGCGGGGAGGAAGGCGGUGAGGUUAAUAACCUCAUCGAUUGACGUUACCCGCAGAAGAAGCACCGGCUAACUCCGUGCCAGCAGCCGCGGUAAUACGGAGGGUGCAAGCGUUAAUCGGAAUUACUGGGCGUAAAGCGCACGCAGGCGGUCUGUCAAGUCGGAUGUGAAAUCCCCGGGCUCAACCUGGGAACUGCAUUCGAAACUGGCAGGCUAGAGUCUUGUAGAGGGGGGUAGAAUUCCAGGUGUAGCGGUGAAAUGCGUAGAGAUCUGGAGGAAUACCGGUGGCGAAGGCGGCCCCCUGGACAAAGACUGACGCGCAGGUGCGAAAGCGUGGGGAGCAAACAGGAUUAGAUACCCUAGUAGUC
rnacentral:rRNA from 1 species